rnacentral:rRNA from 1 species
UACGUAGGGAGCAAGCGUUGUCCGGAAUCAUCGGGCGUAAAGCGCGCGUAGGUGGCUUCGUAAGUCCGUUGUGAAAGUCAAAGGCUCAACCUUUGAAAGCCGAUGGAUACUGUGAAGCUAGAGUACGGAAGAGGCGAGUGGAAUUCCUGGUGUAGCGGUGGAAUGCGCAGAUAUCAGGAGGAACACCAAUAGCGAAGGCAGCUCGCUGGGACGUUACUGACACUGAGGCGCGAAAGCGUGGGGAGCGAACAGG